rnacentral:siRNA from 1 species
CAAGGCAGCCUUUACCCAGGU